rnacentral:rRNA from 1 species
AUUGAACGCUGGCGGCAGGCCUAACACAUGCAAGUCGAACGAGUGGCGGACGGGUGAGUAAUGUCUGGGAAACUGCGUGAUGGAGGGGGAUAACUACUGGAAACGGUAGCUAAUACCGCAUACCAUCAGAGGCGCCUAGAUGGGGUUAGCUAGUUGGUGGGGUAACGGUACACCAAGGGGCAGACCCCUAGCUGGUCUGAGAGGAUGACCAGCCACACUGGGACUGAGACACGGUCCAGACUCCUACGGGAGGCAGCAGUGGGGAAGAUUGCACAAUGGGAGCAAGCCUGAUGCAGCCAUGCCGCGUGUAUGAAGAAGGCCUUCGGGUUGUAAAGUACUUUCAGCGGGGAGGCGUUACCCGCAGAAGAAGCACCGGCUAACGCCGUGCCAGCAGCCGCGGUAAUAC